AACGUACGCUGGCGGCACGCCUAACACAUGCAAGUCGAACGAAGUAGCAAUACUUAGUGGCAGACGGGUGAGUAACAUGUAGGUAUCUGCCCUUUGGCCUGGAAUAACACGAGGAAACUUGUGCUAAUACCGGAUAAGUCUUUACGGAGAAAGCUUUAUGCACCAUUGGAUGAGCCUGCACUUGAUUAGUUUGUUGGUAGGGUAAUGGCCUACCAAGACUGUGAUCAAUAGCUGAUUUGAGAGGAUGAUCAGCCACAUUGGGACUGAGACACGGCCCAAACUCCUACGGGAGGCAGCAGUGGGGAAUCUUGCACAAUGGAGGAAACUCUGAUGCAGCGAUGCCGCGUGAGUGAAGAAGGCCCUUGGGUUGUAAAGCUCUUUCGUCGGGGAAGAAAAUGACUGUACCCGAAUAAGAAGGUCCGGCUAACUUCGUGCCAAAA
rnacentral:rRNA from 1 species